rnacentral:rRNA from 1 species
AAUCAAAACUUUCAACAACGGAUCUCUUGGUUCUGGCAUCGAUGAAGAACGCAGCGAAAUGCGAUAAGUAAUGUGAAUUGCAGAAUUCAGUGAAUCAUCGAAUCUUUGAACGCACAUUGCGCCCUCUGGUAUUCCAGAGGGCAUGCCUGUUCGAGCGUC